rnacentral:rRNA from 1 species
CCUACGGGUGGCAGCAGUGGGGAAUAUUGCACAAUGGGGGAAACCCUGAUGCAGCGACGCCGCGUGAGUGAAGAAGUAUUUCGGUACGUAAAGCUCUAUCAGCAGGGAAGAAAAUGACGGUACCUGACUAAGAAGCCCCGGCUAACUACGUGCCAGCAGCCGCGGUAAUACGUAGGGGGCAGGAGUUAGCCGGAUUUACUGGGUGUAAAGGGAGCGUAGACGGCAGCGCAAGUCUGGAGUGAAAUCCCAUGGCUUAACCAUGGAACUGCUUUGGAAACUGUGCAGCUAGAGUGCAGGAGAGGUAAGCGGAAUUCCUAGUGUAGCGGUGAAAUGCGUAGAUAUUAGGAGGAACACCAGUGGCGAAGGCGGCUUACUGGACUGUAACUGACGUUGAGGCUCGAAAGCGUGGGGAGCAAACAGGAUUAGAUACCCUUGUAGUC